rnacentral:rRNA from 1 species
AUUCCUUGUCGGGUAAGUUCCGACCUGCACGAAUGGCGUAACGACUUCCCCGCUGUCUCCAACAUAGACUCAGCGAAAUUGAAUUACCUGUCAAGAUGCAGGUUUCCCGCGGUUAGACGGAAAGACCCCGUGCACCUUUACUACAGCUUCACACUGGCAUCAGGCACAACAUGUGCAGGAUAGGUGGUAGACUUCGAAGCAGAGACGCCAGUCUUUGUGGAGUCUCCCUUGAGAUACCACCCUUGUUCUGCUUGAUGUCUAACCGCGGUCCGUUAUCCGGAUCCGGGACCCUGUGUGGCGGGUAGUUUGACUGGGGCGGUCGCCUCCUAAAGCGUAACGGAGGCGCGCGAAGGUUGGCUCAGAGCGGUCGGAAAUCGCUCGUUGAGUGCAAUGGCAGAAGCCAGCCUGACUGCAAGACUGACAAGUCGAGCAGAG